AUUGAACGCUGGCGGCAGGCCUAACACAUGCAAGUCGAGCGGAUGAAGGGAGCUUGCUCCUGGAUUCAGCGGCGGACGGGUGAGUAAUGCCUAGGAAUCUGCCUGGUAGUGGGGGAUAACGUCCGGAAACGGGCGCUAAUACCGCAUAUGUCCUGAGGGAGAAAGUGGGGGAUCUUCGGACCUCACGCUAUCAGAUGAGCCUAGGGCGGAUUAGCUAGUUGGUGGGGUAAAGGCCUACCAAGGCGACGAUCCGUAACUGGUCUGAGAGGAUGAUCAGUCACACUGGAACUGAGACACGGUCCAGACUCCUACGGGAGGCAGCAGUGGGGAAUAUUGGACAAUGGGCGAAAGCAUGAUCCAGCCAUGCCGCGUGUGUGAAGAAGGUCUUCGGAUUGUAAAGCACUUUAAGUUGGGAGGAAGGGCAGUAAGUUAAUACCUUGCUGUUUUGACGUUACCAACAGAAUAAGCACCGGCUAACUACGUG
rnacentral:rRNA from 1 species